AGGUUAAGUUAACAAGGGCGCAUGGUGAAUGCCUUGGCACUAGGAGCCGAUGAAGGACGGGACUAACACCGAUAUGCUUCGGGGAGCUGUACGUAAGCUAUGAUCCGGAGAUUUCCGAAUGGGGCAACCCAGCAGUUUUAAUCAACUGUUACCACUAGAUGAAUUCAUAGUCUAGUUGGAGGUAAACGCUGUGAACUGAAACAUCUCAUUAGCAGCAGGAAUAUAAAGAAAUUUCGAUUCCCUAAGUAGCGGCGAGCGAACGGGGAACAGCCCAAACCAAAGUGCUUGCACUUUGGGGUUGUAGGACUGAACAUUUGAGUUACCAAAGAACUUGAUAGUCGAAGGAUUUGGGAAAAUCCGCCAUAGAUGGUGAUAGCCCAGUAGAUUAAAUCAAAUUCUCUCAGUUCAGGAUCCUGAGUACGGCGGAACACGUGAAAUUCCGUCGGAAUCCGGGAGGACCAUCUCCCAAGGCUAAAUACUACCUAGUGACCGAUAGUGAACCAGUACCGUGAGGGAAAGGUGAAAAGCACCCCGGGAGGGGAGUGAAAUAGUUCCUGAAACCAUGUGCCUACAAUAAGUCAGAGCGCGUUAAUGCGUGAUGGCGUGCCUUUUGUAGAAUGAACCGGCGAGUUAUGAUCCCGUGCAAGGUUAAGACUAAAAAGUCGGAGCCGUAGCGAAAGCGAGUCUGAAAUGGGCGUUUUGAGUACGAGGUUAUAGACCCGAAACCAGGUGACCUAUCCAUGUCCAGGUUGAAGGUGCGGUAAAACGCACUGGAGGACCGAACCCGUGUAAGUUGAAAAUUGCUGGGAUGAGGUGUGGAUAGCGGUGAAAUUCCAAACGAACUUGGAGAUAGCUGGUUCUCUCCGAAAUAGCUUUAGGGCUAGCCUCGGAAUUAGGAUCAUGGAGGUAGAGCACUAUUUGGACUAGGGGCCCGUCUUGGGUUACUGAAUUCAGAUAAACUCCGAAUGCCAUUGAUUCAUAUCCGGGAGUCAGACGAUGAGUGAUAAGAUCCACCGUCGAAAGGGGAACAGCCCAGACCAUCAGUUAAGGUCCCUAAAUGUAUGCUAAGUGGAAAAGGAUGUGGAGUUGCAUAGACAACUAGGAUGUUGGCUCAGAAGCAGCCACCAUUUAAAGAGUGCGUAAUAGCUCACUAGUCGAGUGAUCCUGCGCCGAAAAUGUACCGGGGCUAAGCAUACUACCGAAACCAUGGAUGCGACCAUUAGGUCGCGUGAUAGGAGAGCGUUCUAAGGGCGGUGAAGCAAGAUCGUGAGGACUUGUGGAGCGCUUAGAAGUGAGAAUGCCGGUAUGAGUAGCGAAAGAUAGGUGAGAAUCCUAUCCACCGAAUGACUAAGGUUUCCUGGGGAAGGCUCGUCCUCCCAGGGUUAGUCGGGACCUAAGUCGAGGCCGAGAGGCGUAGACGAUGGAUAACAGGUUGAGAUUCCUGUACUAGUUAAGUGCGUUUGAGCAAUGGAGGGACGCAGGAGGCUAAGAUGUGCAUUCUGUUGGAUUAGAAUGUCCAAGCAGUAAGUCUUGUGAAGAGUCAAAUGCUUUUCACUUUAAGGACAAGCUGUGAUGGGGAGCGAAAUUUAGUAGCGAAGCGUCUGAUGUCACACUGCCGAGAAAAGCUUCUAGUGAGUACUUAACUACCCGUACCGCAAACCGACACAGGUAGUCGAGGAGAGAAUCCUAAGGUGAGCGAGUGAACUCUCGUUAAGGAACUCGGCAAAAUGACCCCGUAACUUCGGGAGAAGGGGUGCUGAUCGCAAGAUCAGCCGCAGUGAAUAGGCCCAGGCGACUGUUUAUCAAAAACACAGGUCUCUGCAAAAUCGUAAGAUGACGUAUAGGGGCUGACGCCUGCCCGGUGCUGGAAGGUUAAAAGGAUGGGUUAGCUUCGGCGAAGCUCAGAAUUGAAGCCCCAGUAAACGGCGGCCGUAACUAUAACGGUCCUAAGGUAGCGAAAUUCCUUGUCGGGUAAGUUCCGACCCGCACGAAAGGCGUAACGAUCUGGGCACUGUCUCAACGAGAGACUCGGUGAAAUUAUAUUGUCCGUGAAGAUGCGGACUACCCGCGACAGGACGGAAAGACCCCAUGGAGCUUUACUGUAGCUUGAUAUUGAGUGUUUGUACAGCUUGUACAGGAUAGGUAGGAGCCAUAGAAACCGGAACGCUAGUUUCGGUGGAGGCGUUGGUGGGAUACUACCCUCGCUGUAUGACCACUCUAACCCGCACCACUAAUCGUGGUGGGAGACAGUGUCAGGUGGGCAGUUUGACUGGGGCGGUCGCCUCCUAAAAAGUAACGGAGGCGCCCAAAGGUUCCCUCAGAAUGGUUGGAAAUCAUUCGCAGAGUGUAAAGGCACAAGGGAGCUUGACUGCGAGACAGACAGGUCGAGCAGGGACGAAAGUCGGGCUUAGUGAUCCGGUGGUACCGUAUGGAAGGGCCAUCGCUCAACGGAUAAAAGCUACCCUGGGGAUAACAGGCUUAUCUCCCCCAAGAGUCCACAUCGACGGGGAGGUUUGGCACCUCGAUGUCGGCUCAUCGCAUCCUGGGGCUGUAGUCGGUCCCAAGGGUUGGGCUGUUCGCCCAUUAAAGCGGUACGCGAGCUGGGUUCAGAACGUCGUGAGACAGUUCGGUCCCUAUCCGUCGCGGGCGUAGGAAAUUUGAGAGGACCUGUCCUUAGUACGAGAGGACCGGGAUGGACAUACCUCUGGUGUACCAGUUGUGCCGCCAGGCGCAUCGCUGGGUAGCUACGUAUGGAUGUGAUAAACGCUGAAAGCAUCUAAGUGUGAAACACACCUCGAGAUGAGAUUUCCCAUUCCUUUAUGGAAGUAAGACUCCUGAAAGAUGAUCAGGUAGAUAGGUUAGAAGUGGCAGUGCGGUGACGCAUGAAGCGGACUAAUACUAAUCGGUCGAGGACUUAACCAAG
rnacentral:rRNA from 1 species